rnacentral:rRNA from 2 species
UACGAGAGGUCCAAACGUUAUUCGGAAUCACUGGGCUUACAGAGUUCGUAGGCGGUCCAGAAAGUGGGGUGUGAAAGCCCUCGGCUUAACCGAGGAACUGCGCUCCAAACUACUGGGCUAGAGGAAGAUAGAGGUGAGCAGAACUGAUGGUGGAGCGGUGAAAUGCGUUGAUAUCAUCAGGAAUACCGGAGGCGAAGGCGGCUCACUGGGUCUUUUCUGACGCUGAGGAACGAAAGCUAGGGGAGCAAACGGG